rnacentral:rRNA from 1 species
UACAGAGGGGGCAAGCGUUGUUCGGAAUUACUGGGCGUAAAGGGCGCGUAGGCGGCCCUCUAAGUCGGACGUGAAAUCCCUCGGCUCAACCGGGGAACUGCGUCCGAUACUGGAGGGCUUGAAUCCGGGAGAGGGAUGUGGAAUUCCAGGUGUAGCGGUGAAAUGCGUAGAUAUCUGGAGGAACACCGGUGGCGAAGGCGGCAUCCUGGACCGGUAUUGACGCUGAGGCGCGAAAGCUAGGGUAGCAAACGGG